rnacentral:rRNA from 1 species
AUGAAAAAAGGCAUUGAAUUAACUAGAAAAGCAGAUAUAAGGGGAGUAAAAUUAAAAAUUGCGGGUCGUCUCGGAGGAAAAGAAAUUGCACGCGCCGAAUCUAUUAAAAAGGGUAGACUUCCCCUCCAAACAUUUAGCUGA